CGUUGGGCCCCGGCCCGUGGCGCGCAGGUGGAGCCCCAGGGUGGGCGCCGCGCCGCCGAGCCGACCUGACCGCAGGCCGCGAGUGCGGACCCCGCGACGGUCGGGGGAUAGCCGGGAGCAGGAGCGGGGGUUUAAAAUCUCGGCCUUUAACACACGCUGGCGUCGAGUCCGGCGGGAGGAACUGGGAUGGGUGUUCCCUGGGACCCGCACAGCCGGAGCUCCCUGGGCUCCCGAGAUCAGGACGGGCUCUGACGUUCGGGUGGAGAUGGGAUCCGAGUCGAGGUUCUGGUACUGGUCACUUUCAGCUGCCAGCAGUCUUCAGUUUUGGGUUGAUGGUUGGUAGAGUGAGAACUACUGCUCACUUCAGAGUUUGUGUAAGCUUUUGUGAAGAACUCCACUCUACUCAGUGGGGAAAUCCAGCUUUGUGAUUUCAACGGCCUCAAGCAUGCCAGGCAGGUGCUCUGAACUACAUCCCCAGCCCUGAAGAUAGAAGUCAACUCAGUCUUUGCCAUUUACAGGAAGUAUGAGAUGGAAGAGGAAUGUGCUAAACUAUGCCACAGGGCUGUCAUUGGCAGAUCUCAGAACAUGGGAAACUUCAAAAUUAGCAGCGUGUUCCCUUCCACAGGGAGAGAAAGGAGGGCCCUGUGAUGGAGGUUUGGAGGCACAUUGGCUGAGGCAGUAUGUUGGGCUUGUUUGCAUCUGUGUCUGUCUGGA
rnacentral:lncRNA from 1 species